GCCUCAAAGCUCCAUCUUCUACAGUAGUAAAACUUUGAUAAAACUAUUCUCUUACUAAUUAAUGCUUUUUCUUUUUCAGUAAAUAAACAUACUUCACAUGGAAAAUGGAUAACAGACUACAUUACUCUAUGAAGAAGUAUAGAAAAAAUUAUUCUCGAAAGAAGCUGCUCAUCUGGCUUUAACAUCAAUAAACUGUGUCAAUAAAAUGCUGGUUUGCCCUUA